AAUCUCUCAGCUCUGCUCAGUUACACCUAUAUAUGUGGUGUGGUUGUCUUUACGUGAGAGAGAAAGUAACGCAUUUCUAAUGCACGGCAGGUUGACCAUUUACUCCGGUCAUCCUGUUCCUUUUUGAGGUGCUACAUAA